CCGGGCUCCCCAAGCGGGUCAGCCAUUGGAGCGGGAAGGCCGGGACAGGCUACACGCUGCUGCCCGAAUCCCCGCGCCCGCUUCCCUGUGCGAAGUGAGAGCGAUCCCCGCCGCGCCGAGCGGCCCGUCUGGGUCGUGUCCCGUGAUUUGUUUCAUUCCUGCCCUCACGCGGCAGGCAGCCAGGCAAAAGACCUCAGGGAGCUUCCGAAACACCCUGUCAGAGUAGCCGAGAGAGCCGCUCUGCAGUCCCGGCAUAGCUGACAAUUUACUGGUUCAUCAAUGAAACAAUAUUACAUUAUGAAGAUGUAAGGAAAAAAUCCUACGCUAACAUUGUCGCAGUUUGAAAGGAAUAAAAAAGGUUACAUGGUGGAUUGUGAAAAAGAAGAGAAAGACAAGAGGCACCGGGAACCUUCGGUAGACUGUUUCCUUCUCGGUGCAGUGGAAACCAGCUUCCUUCCCUUCCUCUCCAAGAGGAGUGGAGCAGAGGCAUCCUGCGUGGAGGGAGUAUCACUUUUCCGGGAGAGUGGAGUCAUGUUCACUAGUAGUGCCAGCUGUUGCUUUUCAAAUCCAGAGGUUUAUCAGAUUAGCUUAAGUCUAAGAGCAGAGACUUGGGAGAAGGUGAUGCCUGAAUUUGGGCAUUUUGGAAGGACAACGAUGAGUCAGAAAUUUCCAGAGUAGGAGUGUUUUUGGGGGAGGGAAAAACUGAGUCAGGUACCUUCAUGGAAACCACUGGACGCUUCAGGGUAGAACAAGGGGAACGAAACAACUCACAAGCCAGGAAAGGGCACAGAACAGGAGAGGUGGGGAAGCAGCUUGACAGGAAUCACCUAAUUCCUAAUUUUGUCCAGAGUCAGCUUUGCUCUAGUCUGACUUUUCUUUCCAGCUCUUUUGUGUCUCCCUACAAACACCAAUGGUAACUACCAGGACGAGCUUUGGCUUUCUACAGGAGGUAUAAAUUACACUGGCUAAAUGUUAUCCUUAUAUUAUUUAGAUUCUUUAUUGUGCCACUGGCAAAAUUAGAUGAAGAACAUUUGUGUCAUC